AUUGAACGCUGGCGGCAUGCUUUACACAUGCAAGUCGAACGGUAACAGGCCGCAAGGUGCUGACGAGUGGCGAACGGGUGAGUAAUGCAUCGGAACGUGCCCAGUCGUGGGGGAUAACGCAGCGAAAGCUGUGCUAAUACCGCAUACGAUCUAUGGAUGAAAGCGGGGGACCGUAAGGCCUCGCGCGAUUGGAGCGGCCGAUGUCAGAUUAGCUAGUUGGUGGGGUAAAGGCCCACCAAGGCGACGAUCUGUAGCUGGUCUGAGAGGACGACCAGCCACACUGGGACUGAGACACGGCCCAGACUCCUACGGGAGGCAGCAGUGGGGAAUUUUGGACAAUGGGCGCAAGCCUGAUCCAGCAAUGCCGCGUGCAGGAAGAAGGUCUUCGGGUUGUAAACUGCUUUUGUACGGAACGAAACGGUCUGGGUUAAUACCCUGGGCUAAUGACGGUACCGUAAGAAUAAGCACCGGCUAACUACGUGCCAGCCGCCGCUGUAAAAC
rnacentral:rRNA from 1 species